CGUAUCCUCGAGAGCUAUUAACUUUUACUCUUAAAGUUACUAUCAAAGUUAAUAGUUUCAAAUUAUUAAGAGUAAAAGCUAUCCUCGUCAACUUUGAGUGUAGGUAUUAGCAAAUCCUGGCUACUAUUAUCUUCUUCUUCUUCUUUAUGGCGGGCUCGUUGCUAAGGACGCCUCCGUGCAAAACGUAAACAUCCGACAUGAAUUAAGUAUAUAUUUCAAAAGAAAAAUAAAGAAAAGAUGUAUAAAUGUACAACAGAAACAUAAUAAAUGGCAAACACAAGAAAAUACUGAGUUUUGUGGCAGAUAGAAGCAGCCUCAAAGGCUGUUUUUACUCCGUCACUCGUCAAUACCCGUAUCUCCCCUCCUGCGUCACGACUUGCUCUGCUGAAAUUACCGCACCAUAACCACGUCAUCUGCCCCAAUGAUCUACGGGCCGGAGAACCAGCGCAGAAAAGGAGUAAGUUUAAUUGGUCGCCAGAUGAAACGGUCUUCUUACAUCAAAUUCAAGAAAAAAUACGUAUAAUCAGAGGGUGUUAUGGGAAGAGUAUCACCCCUGAGGAUAAGAAGAGAGCGUGGACUGAAGUGGCAGAAGCUGUAACAAGUGCCUUCCCUGGGAGUGGACCCCGUACGCAGGAUGACUGUGAGAGGCGUUGGUACAACGUACAACAAAAAUCAAAGCCUUGCAUUGCCAAGUGCAAGAAUGAGCAGCGGCAGACUGAUACACACUUUAUCAGUAUUGCUAGAGACCAUCCCAGCACAUUGUUCAUUACUUGUGAAAAAUAUACCAUUAGCUGCUCCGGCAACAGCCACUGCUUCAAUAUCUGCUGGCCCUAUGACACCAGCCACUGCUUCAUCAUCUGCUGGCCCUAUGACACCAGCCACUGCUUCAUCAUCUGCUGGCCCUAUGACACCAGCCACUGCUUCAUCAUCUGCUGGCCCUAUGACACCAGCCACUGUUUCAUCAGCUGCUGGCCCUAUGACACCAGCCACUGCUUCAUCAUCUGCUGGCCCAAUGACCCCUGCCACUGCAAGGGAUGACAAUGAAGCUGCUCCACCAGAGUCACCACCUACUUCAUCGGAGUUAAGAGAUGCCUUUCACAGGGCAGCAGUAUAAUUUUUUGAUGCUGGGGCUGAAUAUUAUUGCCUCAAGGCUAUGAUUUUGUCACUUUUUUUAUUAUUUUAUUACUGAGGAGGUAAGGGUGGAAGGGGUGAAAAAUAAUUUGUGCUGUUUUUCGACAGAAAUGAUUAGCAAAUUCAUUCAGAGCACAAAAUUUACAGGAAAAAAAAUUGUGUGCCAUUGUGAGUGGGUUCACUUGAGAUUGGGCUCCAAUACGCCUCCGUGGUCUAGUGGUCAGCAUGCCUGGCUUCUACGCGGGCCCGGGUUCGAAUCCCGGCCUGGGCAGUCGGCGUGCAGCUCACCCAGCUGAUCAUCCUCCCUCUCGGGCUGGUCGAUAAAUGACUACCUGGGGAAACUAUGGUAACCCGGAUGUCACACUGGCCCUGUGUCCCGGGGUAAUGGGCUCCCUCUCACCACAGGCUCAAGGCCCAAUGUUACGGAGAUGAGCACCGAGGCCACGCGCUGCUAUAGCGUAUGCUCCAACUUUACCUUUAUCUUUAUUGGCUCGACUGACAGACAUGGCUUUGUAUGUCGAAGGUCACUGGUUCAAUCUCCACAGCCAGCACUCUCUAACUUGGAUUUUUCCGAGUUCCCUAGAGCCUAGAUUAAUUUCUCGGUGUUAAAUGAGGAGAUUUGCACCGGCACCCAGUCAUGGGUGUUACAAGAUGCGUUGUUACAAUCAGGGGCGUCAUUUGGCCUUCAAGUGGGAGGGACAUUAGG